rnacentral:ncRNA from 1 species
CAGAAAUAGAGUGGCAGGGUCGUGUCUCCUGCGCUUGCCUUGCUGCAAGUUCUUCCUUGCCGCGG